CUCUUGCUCCACCUGAAUCCCUCACAUCUUACUUGAGACUGAUACAAACACUUGAUUGAGCGAACUUCUUGGCCUACGGCUGGACUCGAUCCAAUCAGCUCCCUCAGCUCUCUUUCCUGUUGAAACCCUUAAGAAAAACUCACCUUUUUUAUUAGUCUUUGGAUCUUGUGAAGUGG